CCACAGGCAAAUGAAAACAACGAUUUGGGAUUCAAUCUCCUUAACGCUCAAUUCUCAACUUCUCUUCUACUCUCUCGCUCUCCCUCUCUCUCUUCCUGUCUUUGCAGAUCCAUCUCCAAAGAGGAAGAGACCAAACAAUGGAGAUCUUCUACUUCAUGGUAUUUGGUGGCCUAACGGCCGUGGUGGCAGCGCUUGAACUCAGCAAAACAAGCAGAGAUCGCAUCAACGCACCCUCUGUUUUCAAUUCCUUCAAAAACAACUAUCUUCUUGUUUAUUCUCUCAUGAUGGCUGGGGAUUGGUUGCAGGGUCCAUAUGUGUAUUAUCUAUACAGUCAGUAUGGGUUUGGAAAGGGAGAGAUAGGUCAGCUUUUUAUUGCUGGCUUUGGAUCUUCUAUGUUGUUUGGGACGAUUGUUGGGUCUCUUGCUGAUAAGCAAGGUCGAAGGAGAGCAUGUGUUACUUACUGCAUAACGUACAUUCUAAGCUGCAUCACCAAACAUUCUCCCGAGUACAAAGUCUUAAUGUUGGGACGUGUGUUGGGAGGCAUUGCCACUUCUCUACUCUUUUCAGCCUUCGAGUCUUGGCUUGUGGCGGAACACUUUAAGAGGGGUUUUGAUCAACAAUGGUUGUCAAUAACAUUCUCAAAAGCAAUAUUUCUUGGCAAUGGUUUGGUUGCCAUUAUGUCUGGGUUGUUUGGUAAUGUACUAGUAGAUACCUUGGGGCUUGGUCCUGUUGCUCCAUUUGAUGCUGCUGCUUGCUUUCUUGCAAUUGGUAUGGCAAUUAUAUUAUCAUCAUGGACUGAAAAUUAUGGAGAUGCUUCAGAAAACAAGGACUUGCUUACCCAAUUCAAGGUUGCUGCUGUUGCCAUUGCUUCUGAUGAGAAAAUUGCGUUGCUGGGUGCAAUACAGUCCCUAUUUGAAGGUUCAAUGUACACCUUUGUGUUCCUAUGGACUCCUGCUCUGAGCCCAAAUGGUGAGGACAUUCCUCAUGGUUUCAUUUUUGCAACGUUCAUGUUGGCUUCAAUGUUGGGAAGUUCUAUUGCAUCUCGACUGCUGGCUCGCUCAUUCCUCAAAGUUGAGAGCUAUAUGCAGAUUGUUUUUGUAAUAUCUGCGGCUUCCCUUCUGCUUCCUGUUAUAACAAGUUUCUUGAUAGUUCCAACUGGAGAGAAAGGUGGAGGCAUCUCAUUUUCUGGUUCUGUCCAGCUUCUUGGCUUCUGCACAUUCGAGGCUUGUGUGGGUAUAUUCUGGCCCUCUAUCAUGAAGAUGAGGUCCCAAUAUAUUCCUGAGGAGGCUAGAAGCACCAUCAUGAAUUUCUUCCGCAUUCCUCUCAACAUAUUUGUGUGUGUCGUGUUGUACAACGUCGAUGCAUUUCCCAUCAUUGUCAUGUUUGGCAUGUGCUCCAUUUUCCUCUUUGUGGCAUCUCUUUUGCAGAGGCGGCUUCUGGUUAUUGCCGAAAGCCAAAAACCAAAUUGAUUUUCCUCGGAAUGAAAGCUCAAAAAAUGAAACCUGAAGUGCAAAACGUAUCAGAUUAGCAGCUGUGGUCUGAAAUUUUCCUCUUCGUCUUAGAGCUACUUGAUCAACAAAGGUGCACAGAAAAUUAGCUUGCAUGUGAGAGUUGAGUGCUUUUGUUUUAGAUGAUUGUUUUAUGUUGACUCUAAGCGAUUGUGAUUGAGGAAAUGAUUUGCGUGAUGAAAUAGUAUCUUUGACAGUAUUGUGAAGCUGGGUUCUAUUUCGAGAUUGUCAAGAUGAGGAAGGGGAAACCGCCAGUAAGAAGAGACGAGGGUGUUUCAGUGGUGAGAGGUUUUUCUUUGCCAAAGUAGUGAGAGGUUGCUAGUGAGAGAAGAAGUCAAGAUUGAGGAAGAAGAGAAGAGGUUGGUUCCUUCAUGGUGGGGAGGCUGUCUGCGUGAGAGAAAAGAGGAGUUGAAUCUAGAUAGAGCGAAUUAAGGAUUUUGAGAAUGGGAAAGGAUCACAAGAUUGGGCAGCAAUGAAAGAUGUGGAAGCGGAGCCAUUAAAUGCAUGAUUGAUUUUGGAGGAAUAAACCUCUUAAAACUUUUUUGAAGAUUGUGGCAGCCGCCUUUGCUCCUUAUCAGCUGCUGGAGCUGCAACUUGGUUAGCUUUUUGCGAUCCAAAAAAUAACAGAUGAGUGUGGGCUAAGUCCUACUUGAAAAGAGUUGUAGAGUAUUCUAUGCGGGCUAAGAGGCAGUUGACAGUAAAGAAAUGAUUUUUAGGCGCAUAGAACGUAUGAAAGUCAUUGCUUUAAAAUCUUGAUGGUCUGGUGCUAUUGUAAUCUGGCAUUUCAUUAGUGCUGGAUAUCUUUACCGUCGAGAUUAAUGCUAGAAACAUUAUGGUGUCAAAGUCUUAACAAUUAAACAAAAGGUUUUCGUAAUUUGUUAUUUGGCAAGUUCUUUACCU